rnacentral:rRNA from 1 species
GGGAUUGCCUCAGUAACGGCGAGUGAAGCGGCAACAGCUCAAAUUUGAAAUCUGGCCCCAUCGGGGUCCGAGUUGUAAUUUGUAGAGAGUGCUUCGGGCGAGGCCUCGGUCUAAGUCCAUUGGAACAUGGUGUCAUAGAGGGUGAGAAUCCCGUAUGCGACCGUGGCUCGAGCCCAUGUGAAGCCUCUUCGACGAGUCGAGUUGUUUGGGAAUGCAGCUCAAAAUGGGUGGUAAAUUUCAUCUAAAGCUAAAUACUGGCUGGAGACCGAUAGCGCACAAGUAGAGUGAUCGAAAGAUGAAAAGCACUUUGGAAAGAGAGUCAAACAGUACGUGAAAUUGUUGAAAGGGAAGCGCUUGCAACCAGACCUGCCCGUAGGCGAUCAGCCGCUGUUCUCAGCGGUGCACUCGCUCUGCGAUCAGGCCAGCAUCGGUUUCGGCGGUCGGAUAAAGGCCUUGGGAAUGUAGCUUCUCUUCGGGGGAGUCUUAUAGCCCUCGGUGCAAUGCGGCCAGCCGGGACCGAGGACCGCGCUUCGGCUAGGAUGCUGGCGUAAUGGUUGUAAGCGACCCGUCUUGAAACACGGACCAAGGAGUCUAACAUCUAUGCGAGUGUUUGGGUGUCAAACCCAUGCGCGGAAUGAAAGUGAACGGAGGUGAGAACCCUUUAGGGCGCAUCAUCGACCGAUCCAGAUGUCUUCGGAUGGAUUUGAGUAUGAGCAUAGCUGUUGGGACCCGAAAGAUGGUGAACUAUGCCUGAAUAGGGUGAAGCCAGAGGAAACUCUGGUGGAGGCUCGCAGCGGUUCUGACGUGCAAAUCGAUCGUCAAAUUUGGGUAUAGGGGCGAAAGACUAAUCG